CUAACAAGGAUUCCCCUAGUAACGGCGAGUGAAGCGGGAAGAGCACAAAUUUUAAAUCUACCUGGUUUCCAGGUCGAGUUGUAAUUUGAAGAAGUGUUUUUUUACUUUCCGGGUUGGGUUAAAUCCUUUGGGAUAAGGUAUCAUGGAGGGUGAGAAUCCCGUGUAUACCAACCGCAGGAUUGUUUAAUAUACACUUUCUAAGAGUCGAGUUGUUUGGGAAUGCAGCUCUAAAUGGGUGGUAAAUUUCACCUAAUGCUAAAUAUAAGCGAGAGACCGAUAGCGAACAAGUACCGUGAGGGAAAGAUGAAAAGAACUUUGAAAAGAGAGUUAAAUAGUACGUGAAAUUGUUGAAAGGGAAACGGUUGAAGUCAGUCAUGCCGGCGGGAAUCAACUUAGGGGAAACUUUAAGUGCACUUCUUCGCUUGGCAGGUUAGCGUCGAUUUUGGAUGUCAUAAAAUGACUGGGGGAAGGUAGCUCUUUCGGGAGUGUUAUAGCCCUUGGUAGAUGUGAUGUUUGGGAUCGAGGAUUGCAACGGAUACCCUUUGGGCUAGUCGCCUAGUCUCUAAUACGAAGUUGGGUUAUGGACAGCACGCUGACUAUGAUCUGAUUUUCGGUUAAAAGAUUAGAGCGAGUGUAAAUCCGUUAAGGACGC
rnacentral:rRNA from 1 species